rnacentral:rRNA from 1 species
GUUUGAUCAUGGCUCAGAUUGAACGCUGGCGGCAGGCCUAACACAUGCAAGUCGAACGGUAACAGGAAACAGCUUGCUGUUUCGCUGACGAGUGGCGGACGGGUGAGUAAUGUCUGGGAAACUGCCUGAUGGAGGGGGAUAACUACUGGAAACGGUAGCUAAUACCGCAUAACGUCGCAAGACCAAAGAGGGGGACCUUCGGGCCUCUUGCCAUCAGAUGUGCCCAGAUGGGAUUAGCUAGUAGGUGGGGUAACGGCUCACCUAGGCGACGAUCCCUAGCUGGUCUGAGAGGAUGACCAGCCACACUGGAACUGAGACACGGUCCAGACUCCUACGGGAGGCAGCAGUGGGGAAUAUUGCACAAUGGGCGCAAGCCUGAUGCAGCCAUGCCGCGUGUAUGAAGAAGGCCUUCGGGUUGUAAAGUACUUUCAGCGGGGAGGAAGGGAGUAAAGUUAAUACCUUUGCUCAUUGACGUUACCCGCAGAAGAAGCACCGGCUAACUCCGUGCCAGCAGCCGCGGUAAUACGGAGGGUGCAAGCGUUAAUCGGAAUUACUGGGCGUAAAGCGCACGCAGGCGGUUUGUUAAGUCAGUGUGAAAUCCCCGGGCUCAACCUGGGAACUGCAUCUGAUACUGGCAAGCUUGAGUCUCGUAGAGGGGGGUAGAAUUCCAGGUGUAGCGGUGAAAUGCGUAGAGAUCUGGAGGAAUACCGGUGGCGAAGGCGGCCCCCUGGACGAAGACUGACGCUCAGGUGCGAAAGCGUGGGGAGCAAACAGGAUUAGAUACCCUGGUAGUCCACGCCGUAAACGAUGUCGACUUGGAGGUUGUGCCCUUGAGGCGUGGCUUCCGGAGCUAACGCGUUAAGUCGACCGCCUGGGGAGUACGGCCGCAAGGUUAAAACUCAAAUGAAUUGACGGGGGCCCGCACAAGCGGUGGAGCAUGUGGUUUAAUUCGAUGCAACGCGAAGAACCUUACCUGGUCUUGACAUCCACGGAAGUUUUCAGAGAUGAGAAUGUGCCUUCGGGAACCGUGAGACAGGUGCUGCAUGGCUGUCGUCAGCUCGUGUUGUGAAAUGUUGGGUUAAGUCCCGCAACGAGCGCAACCCUUAUCCUUUGUUGCCAGCGGUCCGGCCGGGAACUCAAAGGAGACUGCCAGUGAUAAACUGGAGGAAGGUGGGGAUGACGUCAAGUCAUCAUGGCCCUUACGACCAGGGCUACACACGUGCUACAAUGGCGCAUACAAAGAGAAGCGACCUCGCGAGAGCAAGCGGACCUCAUAAAGUGCGUCGUAGUCCGGAUUGGAGUCUGCAACUCGACUCCAUGAAGUCGGAAUCGCUAGUAAUCGUGGAUCAGAAUGCCACGGUGAAUACGUUCCCGGGCCUUGUACACACCGCCCGUCACACCAUGGGAGUGGGUUGCAAAAGAAGUAGGUAGCUUAACCUUCGGGAGGGCGCUUACCACUUUGUGAUUCAUGACUGGGGUGAAGUCGUAACAAGGUAACCGUAGGGGAACCUGCGGUUG